CAUCGCUGGUACCAAAUCGUGGAAAAUUGUAUGGGAUAUCCGUUAUUUUAGUUUGUUAGCGUUUCGUAAAGCGGAAUUUCGCAUUUUCUUUGUGACGUGCUGAUUCUCCAGUAGUUUCUGAAUCUUUUGACAUAUAAUACAGAAUGCGAAAGUGCCAUGUUCCUGGUUGCGGUAAUAGAGCCCAUAAGAAAACAACGACAGAUCCGUCGAAGCCGAUACAGCAAUUAUCAUUUCAUCGCUUCCCAGAGAAUGAGAAAAGAAGCCGAGCUUGGCUCAGGUUUUUCGGACAGUUGCCGAAUACGGUCACAAAAAAUUUGUUUGUUUGUUCGGCGCAUUUUGCUCCCGAUGCAUUCAUAUCUCCUGUUUUCACAACGCAGUAUCGACGGAUUCUAAAAUGCUCAGCAUCUCCGUCUAUUCGACGUACUUCGAAGCCUACGACAGCAAUGUCAUCAAAUCAGUGCAACA